rnacentral:misc_RNA from 1 species
UGUGGGAGGGGGCUUGCCCCCGAUAGCGGUGUGUCAGCAAUGGAUUUGUUGACUGACACACUGCUAUCGGGGGCAAGCCCCCUCCCACA